rnacentral:lncRNA from 1 species
UUUGGAGCUUGCUUCCAUCCUUGGAGGCCUCCUACCUGAGAUCUUAUAGUGUUCUUCAACACAAGUGCCACUUGAUUCCUUGAUCCUUCAAGCUUUGUUUGCUCUUUAUUUCAAGACUUAUACGCAAUUCCAAGAGCUUAUGUUUUGUGCAUGCUUCACAUAGGCCGGACUUGGGCCUUAGUGACUUUAAAAUCUGCAAGACAAUUGUUGUGUACUAUUUGUUAUCUUCCAAGACAAUGUAAUCAAUUAACUCAAUCAAGCAAAACUUUAUGAGCCUUGUGUUAUGAAACAAUUUGUAACGUGACUCCCCAAUGUUUUCGCCGCGUGAUGUUGUUGUAUAUUACGCGAUUGGGGUGUUACACGCCGGAACCCUAGUCCGGUGGCCGGAAGUGAGAGAGAAAGGUAAGGUGAGCCCAAUGCGUCUAUGA